rnacentral:lncRNA from 1 species
GGAUUUGAACAUGUUGAAGUGGCCAUAUUUUUAAUGAAUCCUUAAGGACUCAAGGUCUGUUGAUUAUAUCUGAUAUGGAAAUGUGUUUUUUUUUUUUUUAUGUAUAUGAAUGGAACAAUUUCUCCUUAUAGUUUCAAAUAUAGGCAACCGAUGUUCAAUAGUCAUAAUUCGAUAAAAAGGAAACAAACCCAGACUGCAAGCAAAAUCUAAGGGAACGAAUCAGUCGCUAAAAG